ensembl:ncRNA asRNA:CR44509 antisense RNA:CR44509
AGAAUUGGGCGUGGUUUUCGUAGUAGCACUUGUACAGCAGAUAGCUAGUGUCGCACUUGUCGGCUCCCUUGGUCGAGUCACACUUGGCCUGCACCUCCUUGACAUUGGCUUCGCCGGCGAUGGGACCUAGUUUGGCCAAAACCACGUCAGGUUUUAUCUGCCCAUUGGCCACCAGGCCGGUCUGCUCCAGGAAGCAGUUGGCGAAGCACUUUACCUUUGGAUCGGAGUCUGCAAAGUUUCCAGACCGCAGGGCAAUAGCUUGCUCCUUCGUGAUUCCCUCCUGUUUGACGCAGGCCUUGGCUCUCUGCUUUGCCUCAGCCUUUUGGGAAUCAGUUAGCCCCUGUUAAGAGGAACAAAUCUUUAUAGAACUUAUGGAAAUCAAGCAAAAGGACCUACCACGGCAGAUGCCAAAGAUAGAGCUGCAAGGGCGGCAAACACAAAGAAUACUUUCAUGAUGCUGAUCGUAAUCUGCUGUGUAGAAUCUUUUAGAAUAGAAACUGUUGGCUAAAUGUCUCGUCGAGUCAGCAUUUAUACAAUUUGCGAUGAUGGACUUUGGACUUUGUUUAGUGAUUCCCUUUCAAUCUACUUGGCUGCACUGAGAAACAACCUAGCCAUGCUGACUUGCGGGUUAUUUCUUGUUGUCAGGUUCUUACAUAUCAAUAUAUAAUUUCAGAUUUAAUUUGGGAAAAAUUAAGCUUCAGGUGGCUUUAAAGUAUAUUUUUAAUUAGCGUAAGCUGUCCUAGUUAAAAGGAAUA